rnacentral:rRNA from 1 species
AUUGAACGCUGGCGGCAUGCCUUACACAUGCAAGUCGAACGGUAACGGGCCUUCGGGUGCCGACGAGUGGCGAACGGGUGAGUAAUACAUCGGAACGUGCCCGAUCGUGGGGGAUAACGAGGCGAAAGCUUUGCUAAUACCGCAUACGAUCUACGGAUGAAAGCAGGGGACCGCAAGGCCUUUCGCGGGCGGAGCGGCCGAUGGCAGAUUAGGUAGUUGGUGGGAUAAAAGCUUACCAAGCCGACGAUCUGUAGCUGGUCUGAGAGGAUGAUCAGCCACACUGGGACUGAGACACGGCCCAGACUCCUACGGGAGGCAGCAGUGGGGAAUUUUGGACAAUGGGCGCAAGCCUGAUCCAGCCAUGCCGCGUGCAGGAUGAAGGCCUUCGGGUUGUAAACUGCUUUUGUACGGAACGAAAAGCCUUCUUUUAAUACAGGAGGGUCAUGACGGUACCGUAAGAAUAAGCACCGGCUAACUACGUG